rnacentral:rRNA from 1 species
UACGUAGGGACCGAGCGUUGUCCGGAAUCAUUGGGCGUAAAGAGCGUGUAGGCGGCCACUUAGGUCCUGUGUGAAAUCUUGCGGCUCAACCGCGAGCGGUCGUGGGAAACUGGGUGGCUAGAGUGCGGGAGAGGAGAGUGGAAUUCCUGGUGUAGCGGUGGAAUGCGCAGAUAUCAGGAAGAACACCCGUGGCGAAGGCGGCUCUCUGGAACGCAACUGACGCUGAGACGCGAAAGCGUGGGGAGCAAACAGG